rnacentral:rRNA from 1 species
UCCUACGGGAGGCAGCAGUGAGGAAUAUUGGUCAAUGGGAGAGAUCCUGAACCAGCCAAGCCGCGUGAGGGAAGACGGCCCUAUGGGUUGUAAACCUCUUUUGUCGGAGAACAAAACCCGGGACGUGUCCCGGACUGCGUGUACCCGAAGAAAAAGCAUCGGCUAACUCCGUGCCAGCAGCCGCGGUAAUACGGAGGAUGCGAGCGUUAUCCGGAUUUAUUGGGUUUAAAGGGUGCGCAGGCGGAAUGUCAAGUCAGCGGUAAAAUUUCGGGGCUCAACCCCGUCGUGCCGUUGAAACUGGCGUU